GGUGGUUAUUCCAACCUUUAUACUCUACCUAGGAGUGAUGAGACCUGGGCCUGGCUCCUGCCUGCUGUGUGGUGAGCCCACUGUGAGCCUGGGGUCUGAGGGCACUUCUGCUGCACUUGGGAAGGCUGGAGAGGUGCUCUUGGCAGUUGGGUGUCUUGAGAAGACAGUGGCAAAGCAAAUCCUGGUACUUUCCAUCUUCCCUCUGGCAGGUCUAAACUGCCAGCAUCAUUAACUUUGUACUCUGGGGCCAUUGUUAAGUAAAAUAGCAGUUCCUGGAACACGAGCACCACGAUACUGUAACCAAGAUGGCUACUAAGUGCCCACGUAACUAAUAAGGCCCAGGCUUCUUGGCAUUCCAGACCCUUCCAGACCCAUGAAGCUCCUCCUGUAUAGCUCAGGUCUGCCCAGUAAGUGUAUUCCUUCUUACUGGCCUCAGGGACUGUGACAUAAAUGAUGUCAAUGAGAACCUUUGAAAGGAGAACCACCCCCUACCUGCACCCGGUGAUGGCCAUCAGGAAGUAAGCUGUCAGCCUGCAGGCUCCAGGGUAUGGCAUAUGGCAUAAAGUUGGCACAGAAGGAACCAGAUGCAAGACAUGGCAAAGAAGGAUUGAGUCCUCAAGGUACUUCCAAGCCUGGAUCCU